CAGCCGCCGCGGGAAUACGUAGGUGGCAAGCGUUGUCCGGAAUUAUUGGGCGUAAAGGGCUCGCAGGCGGCUUCUUAAGUCUGAUGUGAAAGCCCCCGGCUCAACCGGGGAGGGUCAUUGGAGACUGGGAAACUUGAGUGCAGAAGAGGAGAGUGGAAUUCCACGUGUAGCGGUGAAAUGCGUAGAGAUGUGGAGGAACACCAGUGGCGAAGGCGACUCUCUGGUCUGUAACUGACGCUGAGGAGCGAAAGCGUGGGGAGCAAACAGGAUUAGAUACCCGCGUAGUCCCUGUCUCUUAUAC
rnacentral:rRNA from 1 species